UGCCAGCCGCCGCGGUAAUACGAAGGGUGCUAGCGUUGUUCGGAAUUACUGGGCGUAAAGCGCGUGUAGGCGGCUUGGCAAGUCUGGUGUGAAAUCUUGGGGCUCAACCCCAAGCGUGCACUGGAAACUGCCUCGCUAGAGUCCGGGAGAGGAGAGCGGAACUCCGAGUGUAGCGGUGAAAUGCGCAGAUAUUCGGAAGAACACCAAUGGCGAAGGCAGCUCUUUGGAACGGUACUGACGCUGAGACGCGAAAGCGUGGGGAGCGAACAGGAUUAGAUA
rnacentral:rRNA from 1 species